rnacentral:rRNA from 3 species
UUGACCUCAAAUCAGGUAGGACUACCCGCUGAACUUAAGCAUAUA